rnacentral:rRNA from 1 species
GCCUACGGGAGGCAGCAGUGGGGAAUAUUGGACAAUGGGGGCAACCCUGAUCCAGCCAUGCCGCGUGUGUGAAGAAGGCCCUCGGGUUGUAAAGCACUUUCAGUGAGGAAGAACGCCUGGUGGUUAAUACCCAUCAGGAAAGACAUCACUCACAGAAGAAGCACCGGCUAACUCCGUGCCAGCAGCCGCGGUAAUACGGAGGGUGCGAGCGUUAAUCGGAAUUACUGGGCGUAAAGCGCGCGUAGGUGGCUUGAUAAGCCGGUUGUGAAAGCCCCGGGCUCAACCUGGGAACGGCAUCCGGAACUGUCAAGCUAGAGUGCAGGAGAGGAAGGUAGAAUUCCCGGUGUAGCGGUGAAAUGCGUAGAGAUCGGGAGGAAUACCAGUGGCGAAGGCGGCCUUCUGGACUGACACUGACACUGAGGUGCGAAAGCGUGGGUAGCAAACAGGAUUAGAUACCCCUGUAGUC